UACGAAGGGGGCUAGCGUUGCUCGGAAUGACUGGGCGUAAAGGGCGCGUAGGCGGUUUGUACAGUCAGGUGUGAAAUUCCCGGGCUCAACCUGGGGGCUGCACUUGAUACGUAUGGACUGGAGUGGGGAAGAGGGUCGUGGAAUUCCCAGUGUAGAGGUGAAAUUCGUAGAUAUUGGGAAGAACACCAGUGGCGAAGGCGGCUAACUGGUCCGAUACUGACGCUGAGGUGCGAAAGCGUGGGGAGCAAACAGG
rnacentral:rRNA from 1 species